AUUGAACGCUGGCGGUAUGCUUAACACAUGCAAGUCGAACGGUAACAGGCCUUCGGGCGCUGACGAGUGGCGGACGGGUGAGUAACGCGUAGGAAUCUGCCUCAUAGUGGGGGACAACGUGGGGAAACUCACGCUAAUACCGCAUACGCCCUACGGGGGAAAGCGGGGGAUCUUCGGACCUCGCGCUAUGAGAUGAGCCUGCGUUAGAUUAGCUAGUUGGUAGGGUAAAGGCCUACCAAGGCGACGAUCUAUAGCUGGUCUGAGAGGACGAUCAGCCACACUGGGACUGAGACACGGCCCAGACUCCUACGGGAGGCAGCAGUGGGGAAUAUUGGACAAUGGGCGCAAGCCUGAUCCAGCAAUACCGCGUGUGUGAAGAAGGCCCUAGGGUUGUAAAGCACUUUCAAUUGGGAGGAAAACCUGCCGGUCAAUACCCGGCAGCUUGACGUUACCUUUAGAAGAAGCACCGGCUAACUCCGUGCCAGCAGCCGCCGUAAAAC
rnacentral:rRNA from 1 species